UUCCCAGCGAAUAAAACUGAAACAUUCACAAGCUAACAAGCUAAAGAGCGAAGUCCCGUGAUGUUUCAAUCGAGGACUUUUACCGUCUCCUGCCCCAUGAUUUGAUGCCACAGCUUCGACUCCAUGCAGCUCCUGUGUUUUGUCCACGUUUAGAAGCACCUAUCUGUGCGAACAGAUGUUUUCAAUAAUGAGUUUAAACAAGACCAAGACCAGAUCGUGCAUUACUGACGAAAACCUACAGGCCAUUUUGCGGAUUUCCUCAGCACAAGAACUAAAACCAGACAUGGACGAACUGACCAGGGGAAAACAUUGAACACAACACAAUGAGGAUGUGUGAGUUGGUGACAGGGUGAAGAGGAUCAGCGUUGUGUUCAAGGACAGGCAACAUCACCUCAUUGUUUGGUUCUUAUGUGAAAUACAUGUUCGUUGUGUAAUAAAUAACGAAAAGGUUUUGUGAAUGAAGUUGAGAGAUCGGAGGAGCA